UCGCCUGCAUGAAGUCGGAAUUGCUAGUAAUCGUAGGUCAGCAUACUACGGUAAAUACGUUCCCGGGCCUUGUACACACCGCCCGUCAAACCAUGAGAGUUGGCAACACCCGAAGUCGGUAGUCUAACCGCAAGGAGGACGCCGCCGAAGGUGGGGUUGAUGAUUAGGGUUAAGUCGUAACAAGGUAUC
rnacentral:rRNA from 1 species